AGUAUGCGUGAGAAUGCAAUUAAAGGGCAGCUCUUGAGUGGUUAAGAUUAGGAUAUCCGAUUUGUCAGGGGAUAGGACCUGAACAAAUUGGGUUCCAUUACCUUGUGUAAGCAUCGGAUUCUGGCCAAUAGUAGCGUGUAAAUGCUAUUGAAG